CUGAGCUUGGAAGGAAGAGGAAAGAGCUGCAGAGGCGGAGACUCUGACCCCAAAGCGAUCGAGGGCCCUCCCCUGGCUUCCGUGUCCCUGUGGCAGGCGGUGGUGGUCGAAAUCUCUGCCCCUCAGAGUCCUGGGGAGGAUGGAUGGAACAGGAGGAGCAUCAUGAGAAGGCUUCCUGUAAACUACGGAGGGUGCUCGUGGAAGCCAGCAGAGGGUGUAGGGUCUCCUGGAGCCACAUCUCUGGAGUUACAUGAAGUUGUGGACCUCUCAACAUGGGUUCUGGGAACUGAACCCAGGUCCUCUGAAAGGACAUCGAGUGCUCUUAACCACUGAGCCAUCUCUGCAGCCUAACCCCAUCCCUUGGAGGCUGAAGCAAAGCAAGUUCAAUGACCGUGCGACCUGGCUCUUGUUUGGGCCUAAGGAAAAGCCGACUGUAAGCCGGGAAGCAUCUCUGGCAAGAACAAGGAAGGAUUAAGCACGUCU
ensembl:lincRNA Bvht braveheart long non-coding RNA